GACGAACGCUGGCGGCAUGCUUAACACAUGCAAGUCGAACGGAAAGGCCCUGCUUUUGUGGGGUGCUCGAGUGGCGAACGGGUGAGUAACACGUGAGUAACCUGCCCUUGACUUUGGGAUAACUUCAGGAAACUGGGGCUAAUACCGGAUAGGAGCUCCUGCUGCAUGGUGGGGGUUGGAAAGUUUCGGCGGUUGGGGAUGGACUCGCGGCUUAUCAGCUUGUUGGUGGGGUAGUGGCUUACCAAGGCUUUGACGGGUAGCCGGCCUGAGAGGGUGACCGGCCACAUUGGGACUGAGAUACGGCCCAGACUCCUACGGGAGGCAGCAGUGGGGAAUAUUGCACAAUGGGCGGAAGCUUGAUGCAGCAACGCCGCGUGCGGGAUGACGGCCUUCGGGUUGUAAACCGCUUUCGCCUGUGACGAAGCGUGAGUGACGGUAAUGGGUAAAGAAGCACCGGCUAACUACGUG
rnacentral:rRNA from 1 species